UGAGUAACACGUAAGUAAUCUACCCUCGAGUGGGGAAUAACGUCCGGAAACGGACGCUAAUACCGCAUAAUGCAGCGGCACCGCAAGGUGACAGUUGUUAAAGAUUUAUCGCUUGAGGAGGAGCUUGCGGCAGAUUAGCUAGUUGGUAAGGUAAUGGCUUACCAAGGCUACGAUCUGUAACCGGUCUUAGAGGACGGUCGGUCACACUGACACUGAAUAACGGGUCAG
rnacentral:rRNA from 1 species